rnacentral:rRNA from 1 species
CUUAGUGACUGAGCGGCGGACGGGUGAGUAACGCGUGGGUAACCUGCCUCAUACAGGGGGAUAACAGUUAGAAAUGACUGCUAAUACCGCAUAAGGCCACAGCACCGCAUGGUGCAGGGGUAAAAACUCCGGUGGUAUGAGAUGGACCCGCGUCUGAUUAGGUAGUUGGCGGGGUAACGGCCCACCAAGACUACGAUGGAUAGGGGUUCUGAGAGGAAGGUCCCCCACAUUGGAACUGAGACACGGUCCAAACUCCUACGGGAGGCAGCAUG